rnacentral:lncRNA from 1 species
ACAAAACUUUCAAAAAUUGUAUUUUUCUUGAACUUAUGUAUUAUCAUUAGAGAACAGUAUUUGGUUUUUGUUUUAUGGUUCUGUGUGUGUGUGAGUGUGUGUGUGUUUAAGACAGGGUCUUACUACAUAGCUCUCUCUUGCCUGAAAUUUGCUAGAGAGACCAGGCUGGCCCACACAGACCAGCCUCCUGAGUACUAGAACCAAGACAGGUACCACCAUACCCAGCUGAGAAAAGUUUUUAUGACACACAUUUUCUGAGGAAAAUUGGCAUUUCCUUUAUGACUUGAUGCCCAUGUGAUUUCCAGAAAUGAUCUAUGUGUUGUAUUUUUUUCUUUUUUCUUUUCUUUCUAUUUUUUUUUUUUUGUUUGUUUCUCCAGAGUUUUCUAUAGAUCUAUCAGAACAACUUUACAACUUAAUCCACUUGGCUGUGAGCCAAUCUUUCCCUUCCCACUACAACAAACAAUCUCUCUCUCUCUCUCUCUCUCUCUCUCUCUCUCUCUCUCUCAUCCUGUUCCUUCUCUGACUGGUAAUUUAAAUAUCUAAUAUGCUAAAAGCAGCGAGGUCUAACUCAACCUUUGGGCUCCCACUCCCCUUCUCACAGAAUGGCAUGGCUGGACUUUUGUUUGUUAUUGAAGAGCGAGCUCGUUCUUUUCCAGUUCUGUACCUCAGGUGGCCGGAGACCUGCAUGAAGAAUGUGGUCUUCCCUGGUGGGCACUCUCGAAUUUGGCUACACAUUUUUUCAUCCCCCCAGGGCUUCUCAGACCAGGUAAAAGGCACGUGUGUCUGAUUGUUUUUAUGCUUAGAUGAAAGCUGACCUCUGCUGCAGAUUCUGGCUGGCUUUUCUUCCCCCUCAGUGUUUUAUGGAAACCAACAACUGUAAAACAGGAACUGUAACUCCGUAGUUGUUUUUGCUUUCCAAUGGGUUUUUCUAAUUUACUGUUUUGUUGUUGAACCGACUCCCCAGAUCCUGAGUUCAUGUGAAGGAGUUCUUAAUUCCAAACUCUGCAUUUUGUUUUCAAAGGGCCAUUGCAACCAGUACUUCAUUCUAUUUUUAAAACUAAACCUUUAAGAUACAAAGCUUUUCUAAAACUAUAUAUGUUGCCCUAUUGGUCUUGGGUUAGCUUCCUGGUUGCUGUCUGUUUGAAUCCAUGUGUAUUUCAUAUAUUAUUUGGUUAAAAAAUGUAUGCAUAUCUCAGGGUCUGUACUAACACACUGAUUUAAUAUUGAUGUGACAUAUUUUAUUUAACUUUUUUACAUUGACUUGUUUAUUUGGGGUAAUAUGUGUACACACGUGAAAGAAACAAAGAGACAGAAAAAGGAUGCAGAGACAGCCGAUGAUGCGCAUGCCCGAGGUCAGAGGCCGGGUGAGCAUCAGUUCGGUCUAGCAUGUGGGUUUUAGAGAUUGAACUCAGAUCUCCGGCCUUGAUGGCAGGAGCCUUUACAUACUGCACUGUUUUACCGGCCCCUUGAUACAAAAUUAAAUUAGAGAAUCCAUGUAUAGCACUUAGCUCACUGCCUGAAAUAUAUGCAAAUCUAUAAGACGGGGUUUUAAAAAUACUGGACUGAAAGAAGCAUUUGUCAUGUUCUCUUAGCGACAAGGAGUUGUAUCUGUUUUUAAAUUUUUCUUCCUAAAACCAUCUUGCUGUCUUAUAUGAGCUGCGUACACAGUCAAAGUGCAGUUAUGCUUGUGAUUUUUCUCUAUGUACAAGCAAGUGUAGCUGUGCAUACGUAAGGAGAAAUAAUUGGUUACAAAUUUCAUCUCCCGACGCCCAAGGACUAACGGAACCCGGAAAGGAAGAAGCUAUUCGGAACAAUACGAAUAUUUCUUGGCCCUGUCUCUCUUCAAUCUAAUUUUCUGUCCAUUGAAAGCAGCUGUGCCUUUCUCACUCUGACAAUUCUGAAAUCAGGGUAACUGGUUCCUCAUAAAGACUAGGAUGCGCUGGCAGGAGCUGCCUCUGCCGGGAGCUGCUGAAUGUUCAAUGGUGCUUGAUUAUACAGGAGGUUAAUAAGACCACUCUGAUUAUUUCCUUCUUGGUGAAACUGCCCCUUGUCUUAUUACAAAACCGCUAAUUAUCCCUCAAACCAGAGAUUCUUUAAAUAAGCACGAGAGGCAGCAUUAUGUAACAAGUGCAGGGGCUCUUUUUCUUUGUAAGGUAGAUGACUUUAAAAAAAAAAAUGAAGAUGUGGUUCUCAAACUACAUGAUUAUACACUUAAAAUGCACAGCACACUGGCUUCGACAUAGUCCCUGUCGUGUGCGCCACAGUAACCACAGUGUUUUUAAAGUUUUGUUACCUCAUAAGGAAGCUCUGCGCUAAGUGAUCACCCCAAGCUGUGUUUUGAAAGUCCCAUUCUGCUCAGCAGCCGGGCGUGGUGGCGCACGCCUUUAAUCCCAGCACUCGGGAGGCAGAGGCAGGCGGAUUUCUGAGUUUGAGGCCAGCCUGGUCUACAAAGUGAGUUCCAGGACAGCUAGAGCUAUACAGAGAAACCCUGUCUCGAAAAACAAACAAACAAACAAAACACACACACACACACACACACACACACACACACACACACACACACACAGCCAAACAGACAUUCUGCGCAAUAACAAGAUUGCACUGAAGGGUAUGGCCCAUAGGAGAUGCCAGGUGGACUUAUCCCUCAGCGCUACGAUUUGGUGUCUUUACAAAAGGUUUGAAAAAGGCAGUUUCUCCUCUUUUUCUUUAGCCAUUUGAGGCUGUAGAGUUUCUCUUAUCCCAUCGCCCUGUACUCAGGACAUCAUCCUGGAAGCAGACUGGAUCCUUGUAGAGGGUGAGGUUGCUGGUGCCUUGAUCUAGAUUUUACAAACUGCAGAACUGUGCUAUACAUUUUGUUUUUGCCCACGUGGUGGUAAUGUAUUUCCACAGCACAGAUAAAGACAACCCCAAUCUAGGUACUUUCUUCUCCAAGCACUAAGCAGCCACUUUAUGUCUUGGUAAUUUUUUUUCUGGAUUUAUAUUUGAAUAGAACUAUAUAAUAUGUGGUGCUUUUUAAUUGCCUUUAAAAAUGUGUGUGUGUGUGUGUGUGUGUGUGUGUGUGACCUGUGUGCAGUGCCCACAGAGGCCAGAAGAGGGUAUUGAGUGCUUUGGAAGUAGAGUUAUAGGCUUUAGUGAAUCAGCCCAUGUGAGCACUGCGUAUCCAACUUGGGGCCUCUGAAAGAGUAACAUAUGCUCUUAACUACUGAGGCAUUGCUCCAGACUACAAAAUAAUUUCCUCUUGUUCAGCAUAAUGUUUUCAAGAUUCAGUCACAUUGGACCACGUAUUAGUACUUUAUGGCCAAAUGCCAUUCUAUUGUGUGGUGAUUGCACAUUUAAUCUGUUUGUCAGUUGACUGAAAUUUGUUUCUGCAUGGUGAGGAGUAAGAAUAUUGCAGUCAUAAUAAUUAAUGCAGCUUUUAGGGUGUGGGUAUAAAGAUGGAUAUUUCCAUUUCCUUCGAGUAAAUUGUUAGGUAACUCUGUGUUUAAUGAUUUCAGGACCUUUGUAGCAU